AGUACCUCUGUGUCUCUGUGUGUGCUGAACAUCUGGAAUCAGAUUGAGUCAGGCUGCAUCAGCUGAAUCUGUUAUUUGUAAAUAUCAAUAUUUUUUAUUCAGGUGUGGGGAUAAUAUGUAAGACUGCAGUGAAGCGAUGUACCAGAUGAAUCCCUGGCCAAAGAACAGUUCGCCACAGUCGCUGUCCACAUGGGUCAGUGGGACCAAGCAGCACUCUGCUAAUGUGAGACUCUGACCAGCAACAUCCAGCAAGACCCAGGCAGCGUUUUCUAUCUCCCAGCUGGAGUUUUUUGUUUGUCUGUGACUGGAGAGUCAGAUUUUUGUUGAAGCUGGAGGAACAGCCUCACACUUGCAGAGGUUAAUACACGCUACUGAUCCCUGAUGGGAGAAUCAUCACCUCUGCCAACAAAGAAGCCUGGUGGAUGUUUGUUUACAGUCUGAUGAUGGGAC